GAAAUGCGAUAAGUAAUGUGAAUUGCAGAAUUCAGUGAAUCAUCGAAUCUUUGAACGCACAUUGCGCCCGCCAGCAUUCUGGCGGGCAUGCCUGUCCGAGCGUCAUUUCAACCAUCAAGCCCCCGGGCUUGUGUUGGGGACCUGCGGCUGCCCGCAGGCCCUGAAAACCAGUGGCGGGCUCGCUGUCACACCGAGCGUAGUAGCAAUCACCUCGCUCAGGGCGUGCUGCGGGUUCCGGCCGUUAAACAGCCUUACAAAACCCAAGGUUGACCUCGGAUCAGGUAGGAAGACCCGCUGAACUUAAGC
rnacentral:misc_RNA from 1 species